CGGCCAUUCUGUAGCGAUGGUGCGCACAGUGUUGGUAGCUCAUUGCACCAUGCACUUGCGUGAACGAACCGGGGUUCCUGGUGGUGGUGGAUAACAUUUGCUCCGGUACAAUUGUGAUACCAGUGCUCGGCCGGCAUUCAGGCAGCAUCCGUACAUUCGCACGGCCCCGAGAUGAGCCGUGUAUUGAGCUUGAGCAAACAUAGACCACAAAAGGGUAGAGGGUGGGGGGGUAACCGAAUCGGUGGUGGUGGUACCAGCCGAACAAAGGCCAAACACUGCUGUUUAACAGCUUUUAUAUCUAAUUAAUUAUUUUAUUUGAAAGUAUUUACCUAGACGCUCGACACUGGGAUGAUGACGCUCCGUUGUUUGUAGAAGUGCAUUCCGAGGCCACCGGUCUGCACACGUCACCGACGCUACAAUGCACCAGCCGCAGGUUCAAAUCCACUCCCCAACCUCCAUAAGAAAUCUGCCCGUACUAUCCUUGGCAAGUAUAAUAUAGCCUGCCUCCGGGGAUCUCGUAUCUUUCCCUCGUAAGACGAUCUGUUAUCAGCACGAACUCAGACCAAGCACGGUCUACGCACGGUGGAAGCGCUACGGUGUGCAAAUAACGUUUUGAAAUUAAAAAUAGAAUAACAUCGCGACAUAGGACGAGAGAUAAAAAAAGAAGGAAAGUGUACGUGCGAUUGCCAAGGAUGAAAUAAAAUCGGUUAAAAAACCGGUGUCGUUUCUGUGCUUCAAAAUGGAAGGGUAAAUAUUCGGAACAUGCACAUCCAGCAGCAGACGGAGCUUAGGUGUACACCGUGCAUCAUCGUGCUUCGCUUAUCUUAGUUCAAAUACGCCGAUUUGGUUAAUCGUCGUAAGCAAAACCACAGGGGGAGAGGUGGCAUAUUAAUGAAGGGAUUUUAUUGUGCUGGCUAGCUGGGUUUUGCUGGUGGCGGAAAUUUUCCAUUUUUAUAUGUUUAUUGUGAUGUUUCCUGUUAAGUCACAAUGAUGGGGUUUUUUUGUGUGUUAAGUAUUAAGCCUUUUAGUUACAAUAAAAUGAACAGUUCAUUGACAU